rnacentral:rRNA from 1 species
AUCUUCCACAAUGGGCGAAAGCCUGAUGGAGCAACGCCGCGUGAGUGAAGAAGGUUUUCGGAUCGUAUAACUCUGUUGUAAGGGAAGAACAAGUACAGUAGUAACUGGCUGUACCUUGACGGUACCUUAUUAGAAAGCCACGGCUAACUACGUGCCAGCAGCCGCGGUAAUACUUAGGUGUCAAGCGUUGUCCGGAAUUAUUGGGCGGAAAGCGCGCGCAAGCGGUCCUUUAAGUCUGGUGUUAAAGCCCACGGGCUAACCGUGGGAGGUCAUUGGAAACUGGGGGACUUGAGUGCAGAAGAGGAAAGUGGAAUUCCAAGUGUAGCGGUGAAAUGCGUAGAGAUUUGGAGGAACACCAGUGGCGAAGGCGACUUUCUGGUCUGUAACUGACGCUGAGGCGCGAAAGCGUGGGGAGCAAACA